GAGGAAGGGGUUAAUAAGGAGAAAACAUUCAGAGAGGAGGAGGGGGGUUUAAUAAGGAGAAAACAUUCAGAGAGGAGGAAGAGGGGUUUAAUAAGGAGAAAACAUUCAGAGAGGAGGAAGAGGGGUUUAAUAAGGAGAAAACAUUCAGAGAGGAGGAAGAGGGGGGGGGGUAUGUUUAACAUGUGCCUCAGAAUUGGGACAGAAGUGGGGUAUGUUUUAAAAUGGCACCCUUCUCUCCCUACAUAUUGCAGUACUUUUAAACAGAGCCCUAUGGGCUCUAGUCAAAAGUAGUGUACUACUGUAUAUAGGGAAUAGGGUGUGAUUUGGGACACAACGUGGAACUACUGUAUAUAGGGAAUAGGGUGUGAUUUGGGACGUGGAACUACUGUAUAUAGGGAAUAGGGUGUGAUUUGGGACACAGCCGUGGAACUACUGUAUAUAGGGAAUAGGGUGUGAUUUGGGACGUGGAACUACUGUAUAUAGGGAAUAGGGUGUGAUUUGGGACGUGGACCUACUGUAUAUAGGGAAUAGGGUGUGAUUUGGGACGUGGACCUACUGUAUAUAGGGAAUAGGGUGUGAUUUGGGACGUGGACCUACUGUAUAUAGGGAAUAGGGUGUGAUUUGGGAUACACAGUGGAACUACUGUAUAUAGGGAAUAGGGUGUGAUUUGGUAUACA
ensembl:lncRNA